rfam:Myotis lucifugus cont2.39809, whole genome shotgun sequence.
AAGCCUAUACUUUCAGGGGUCAUUUCUAUGGUUUGUUACUAGAGAAGUUUCUCUGAAUGUGUAGAGCCCCCGAAAUCAUGAAGAGGAGGCGCAGUAUUCUCUCCUGAGUGUGAAGCUGGCUUUUGGUGUUCCUUUGGCAACUACCAUGAGCCAUUGAUGAUCCUUCUUCUCUUCCUUUGGGAGAAUAAGAGGGAGAGGACGCAGUGGU